UACGUAGGGUGCGAGCGUUAAUCGGAAUUACUGGGCGUAAAGCGUGCGCAGGCGGUUCGUUAAGUCAGAUGUGAAAGCCCCGGGCUCAACCUGGGAACUGCAUUUGAAACUGGCGGGCUUGAGUGCGGCAGAGGGGGGUGGAAUUCCGCGUGUAGCAGUGAAAUGCGUAGAGAUGCGGAGGAACACCGAUGGCGAAGGCAGCCCCCUGGGCCAAUACUGACGCUCAGGCACGAAAGCGUGGGGAGCAAACAGG
rnacentral:rRNA from 1 species